rnacentral:rRNA from 1 species
UACGUAGGGGGCAAGCGUUGUCCGGAAUCAUUGGGCGUAAAGAGCGUGUAGGCGGCUCGGUAAGUCCGCUGUGAAAGUCCAGGGCUCAACCCUGGAAUGCCGGUGGAAACUGUCGAGCUAGAGUCCGGAAGAGGCGACUGGAAUUCCUGGUGUAGCGGUGAAAUGCGCAGAUAUCAGGAGGAACACCGGUGGCGAAGGCGGGUCUCGUGGGCCGGAACUGACGCUAAGGAGCGAAAGCGUGGGGAGCGAACG